GAGUUUGAUCAUGGCUCAGAACGAACGCUGGCGGAAUGCUUAACACAUGCAAGUCGAACGAAGGCUUCGGCCUUAGUGGCGCACGGGUGAGUAACGCGUGGGAAUCUGCCUUGGGGUACGGAAUAACUCAGGGAAACUUGAGCUAAUACCGUAUGAUGUCGCGAGACCAAAGAUUUAUCGCCCUGAGAUGAGCCCGCGUUGGAUUAGCUAGUUGGUGGGGUAAAGGCCUACCAAGGCGACGAUCCAUAGCUGGUCUGAGAGGGUGAUCAGCCACACUGGGACUGAGACACGGCCCAGACUCCUACGGGAGGCAGCAGUGGGGAAUAUUGGACAAUGGGCGCAAGCCUGACGCAGCCAUGCCGCGUGAAUGAUGAAGGUCUUAGGAUUGUAAAAUUCUUUCACCGGGGACGAUAAUGACGGUACCCGGAGAAGAAGCUCCGGCUAACUUUGUGCCAGCAGCCGCGGUA
rnacentral:rRNA from 1 species